UUCAGACAAACUGAACUGAACUGUUUUUUGUUUUAUCAAACUGAACUGAACUAUACUGAAUUGUACUAAAUUACAGUACGAACUGAACUGAACUAUUAACUGAAUUGUAAACUACACUAACUGAACUAUUAACUGGACUGUAAACUGCACUAAAUGAACUAAACUAUUAACUGAAUUGUAAAUUACACUAACUGAACUAUUAACUAAAUUGUAAACUACAUUAAUU
rnacentral:lncRNA from 1 species